GACGUAGGGCGCAAGCGUUGUCCGGAUUUAUUGGGCGUAAAGAGCUCGUAGGCGGCCGGUUGCGUCUGCUGUGAAAUCCCGGGGCUUAACCCCGGGCGUGCAGUGGAUACGGGCUGGCUGGAGGCAGGCAGGGGAGAAUGGAAUUCCCGGUGUAGCGGUGAAAUGCGCAGAUAUCGGGAGGAACACCGGUGGCGAAGGCGGUUCUCUGGGCCUGUGCUGACGCUGAGGAGCGAAAGCGUGGGGAGCGAACAGG
rnacentral:rRNA from 1 species